GGUGAACGCUGGCGGCGUGCCUAAUACAUGCAAGUCGAGCGAACAGACGAGGAGCUUGCUCCUCUGACGUUAGCGGCGGACGGGUGAGUAACACGUGGAUAACCUACCUAUAAGACUGGGAUAACUUCGGGAAACCGGAGCUAAUACCGGAUAAUAUAUUGAACCGCAUGGUUCAAUAGUGAAAGACGGUUUUGCUGUCACUUAUAGAUGGAUCCGCGCCGCAUUAGCUAGUUGGUAAGGUAACGGCUUACCAAGGCAACGAUGCGUAGCCGACCUGAGAGGGUGAUCGGCCACACUGGAACUGAGACACGGUCCAGACUCCUACGGGAGGCAGCAGUAGGGAAUCUUCCGCAAUGGGCGAAAGCUUGACGGAGCAACGCCGCGUGAGUGAUGAAGGUCUUCGGAUCGUAAAACUCUGUUAUUAGGGAAGAACAAAUGUGUAAGUAACGAUGCACGUCUUGACGGUACCUAAUCAGAAAGCCACGGCUAACUACGU
rnacentral:rRNA from 1 species